UCUUUUCUUUUUCUCCAAAAUAUCUUACCACUCCUUUCAGCACGAAACAUGCGUACGCCUCUUUCCUAUCGCCACCAAAAACGUUGUGGCGUCUGCUAAACGCCAUCUUGUCUCAGAGUUUGAAAAUCUCGUGUGUAAUUGUUUAUUGUGCAUGUCAAGUUCCGCCUUUAUUUUCUUUAUCUAACAUCAUCAUCUUGCCAAUCCAUCUGUGAUAUAACAACAGUCUCGAAUCGAGUGGAAGAAAAAUCCUGCAAUCAAGAUUGUUCGAGAAAUGCGACAUCGUCAGCUGAUUCGUAAACAAAGAUUGUAAAACAAUGCAGCCAUUUACCUGGAUGCUGGCAGCAAUUUCAGCUCCAAAUCCGGACGUCAAUGGCGCUUCAUGCGCUAUCAGCAACCGUCCCGUUUUCUUCACCGACUUGAGACAUUUAGAAAGUGAGAUGAAUAAACAAAAAAAUUGAAAUGCCCUCCAAUUUACAGACCUGAUCAAAUGCUGGAAGGAUGUAAUCUGCAAACUGAAUUUCUGCUAUGGCUGUAGCUCCUGCGGUGGCAGCUCCUAUACCAAAACCAGCGAUUCCUUGUUCACACAAAGGAGUGUUGA